AGGAACAGCAGGAGAGACAGGACAGGUCCGCUGCACCACAUGGAUCAGCCUCCAGGCUGGUGGAUUGAUUUCAAGCAAUCGUGAUAGCGCUGAGACUGCAGCCCUACAUCACCAGGAGCUGUCCCCCCUUUUAGAUGUCAUCCCACCACUGUGUCCCUAUCCUGUGCUCCCUGCUCUCCCAUCCUCCAGCUUCAUGUGUCCAAGUGUCCCAGCCUCAGGCUUUGAGAUGGUUGGCUGCCUGGCAGAAGAGCACUGAGAUUUUUGAAAACUGUCCUGAACCUGCAAGGUCUCCAGGUGAUAGGUGACAGAGAAGAGCAUGAUGGGAUGGGUGCUUGGAGAAGUCAAGAGCAGCGCCUUGAUUCCCCUCCAAAAGUGCCUCCCUCUGGUACUGCAGCCUUACCUGGCUCCCACCUGCCCUAACAUGGCUAAGAGAAUGGUGAAGGCUGCUUUCUUCUUGUGCAUAGUCCAACUGGAAUGGCCUGAGACAGAAUCCUUGCCUCACUUCUCCAUCAGCCCCUGCAGACUCAUUCCCAGGGCUUGGAGCACAAGAGCAGGACAGUAUCCCUGCUGAGAACCAGUCACAAGCCCAAGAAGUGCGUGCUGAGCUGAUGGGUGGUGCUCACCCAAGAGCAGGGAGCAAGGGUGAAAAUUAUCAUGUCUGAAAACCAGGGCCCAGAAGGAAGAGCUUGUAAAACAUCCAACUGAUUCAACUACAUUGAAACCAGGGCAACCCUUGCCCCACCCCAGCUUCUACUCAGAACUACAGCAGGAACUUGGGCAACAAAAUUGAAGUCCAGGUGUAGGGAUUGGCCACAGAUUUUGUAUGUGGAGAGGACCUCCAUAGCUGAGGUCCAGAAGUGCGUGACUACUCAAGACCGUGACUACUCAAGACCAUAGUGGCAGGAGCCUCUGGGAUCCCUCAGCCCUGGGGCUUUUCACUGAGGCCUCCUCAGGAGUAAAUACUCCACUCCCAGCCGAAGGCAACAUGCUGUUACUGUUGCGCAAAGCACAGACAGCCCUUGCAGCUAAGGGCUGUGGAGGCCGAGUUCCAUCUAUAAUUCAGCAGCCCAGGUGGAGAGGAAUGAUCUAUGCCCAUCUGCCUCUGGGGCUUCCAGACGGUCAAAACGGGGUUGGUUUCCUUAAUCCUGGCCAUGCAGCUUCAGCCACCCUAUUUAAUGAGUCAGUACCUGCCCUAGACUGGAAGUUAGUGCUGGGCUAUUGAGCUCAACUUCUAUUUCUCUGCUCACUGGACAAACCUCUUGGAUCUACUUCUUUAUCAAUGACCUGGGCAAAAUCCUUCCUUCCCUGAAGGACCUGGAGAGUUAAAUGUUUUGCCUUUGAUUCACCAACUGAAAAGAACUGAAGGUUUCUAUAAAGAGGAACGUGUCAUCAGAUUCUCACAAGCAUUUACCAUCAUGAAAUACGCUCCCAGGAGGAACAGUGUGACCCACUUGGCUGAGCCAGGUCAAACAGGAGUGAACAUCUUAAGAAACUUGAGCACCUCGGGCCCUGCUACUACUGCUCAGGUUCCAGCCUAGUUUUUUUCUCUGGUCUCCUUCCCUGGGCUCAAGUUCUCAACUGUGGGUCUGAAGAAUGGUGCUGACCCUAGAGUCCUUCCCCCUCCAAGGCGCUCAUAAGCUUAUUUGGGUUUCUUCCUGCUCUGCACAAGGAUCACCCUCCAUAGUACAGGGGAAAACUGCCCAGACCAGGGUGGCCAAUUCCUCAGGCACAAUGAUACAUGCCCCUGAAGCAAGAGGCUGCAGAGGUGAGGGGCAGGGCCUGCAAGACAACUGCUGACAUUCUGUGCCGUCAGUCCAGCCUAGCCGAGUUUUGCUGCUCCUCACCUGAGGUGUUCUGACAGGCCCACAGGCAUCACCAGUCAGGGGCUGGGCUUGAAUUUGAGUUAAAAAAGUCACAGAAGAAAAGUGACUAGGAGACAGAAGGAUUGAACAGGAAAAAGAUCAAAGUAAGGACCAGAAUCCCACAAGGGUCUUGGCCCCUCCUUGAUGGCUCAGGGGUUAAAGAAACAGCGCUAUUAAGAUAUAGCCAGCCACCGCAGCACGAGUUCAAUCCCCAGCCAGGGAUCUGACCCACAUGGCACAGUUGACCUAUCUCACCGUGGAUCCCCUCAGCAGCAUGUCUCAGUCAAUCUGCCUAUUCUGCUCCCCACUCUGUCUGGUGAA